rnacentral:rRNA from 1 species
GACGUAGGGCGCGAGCGUUGUCCGGAUUUAUUGGGCGUAAAGAGCUCGUAGGCGGCUUGUCGCGUCGACUGUGAAAACUUGGGGCUCAACCCCAAGCUUGCAGUCGAUACGGGCAGGCUAGAGUUCGGUAGGGGAGACUGGAAUUCCUGGUGUAGCGGUGAAAUGCGCAGAUAUCAGGAGGAACACCGAUGGCGAAGGCAGGUCUCUGGGCCGAUACUGACGCUGAGGAGCGAAAGCGUGGGGAGCGAACAGG